rnacentral:rRNA from 1 species
AGUCGAACGGGAUAUUUUGGUAGCAAUAUCGGAAUAUUCAGUGGCGAACGGGUGCGUAACACGUGGGUAACAUGCCGGGAAGUGGAGAAUAGCCCAGGGAAACUUGGGUUAAUGCUCCAUGUGGUCGCAAGACUAAAGACGGGGCAACCUGUCGCUUCCUGAUUGGCCCGCGGCCUAUCAGCUAGUUGGUGAGGUAACGGCUCACCAAGGCGACGACGGGUAGCUGGUCUGAGAGGAUGACCAGCCACACUGGAACUGAGACACGGUCCAGACACCUACGGGUGGCAGCAGUCGAGAAUCUUUCACAAUGGGGGCAACCCUGAUGGAGCGACGCCGCGUGGAGGAUAAGGUCUUCGGAUUGUAAACUCCUGUCAUGCGAGAGUAAGGCCGACGCGUUAACUGCGCGGAGGAUUGACAGUAUCGCAAGAGGAAGAGACGGCUAACUCUGUGCCAGCAGCCGCGGUAAUACAGAGGUCUCAAGCGUUGUUCGGAAUUACUGGGCGUAAAGGGUGCGUAGGCUGCGCAGAAAGUCAGGUGUGAAAUCCGGGAGCUCAACUUCCGAAUUGCACCCGAUACUCCUGUGCUAGAGGACUGGAGAGGAGCUUGGAAUUCUCGGUGUAGCAGUGAAAUGCGUAGAGAUCGAGAGGAACACUAGUGGCGAAGGCUGGGCUCUGGACAGUAUCUGACGCUGAGGCACGAAGGUCAGGGGAGCAAACGGGAUUAGAUACCCCGGUAGUCCUGACAGUAAACGGUGCACGCUUGGUGUGGGGGGUGACCCCUUCCGUGCCGAAGCUAACGCGAUAAGCGUGCCGCCUGGGAAGUACGAUCGCAAGAUUAAAACUCAAAGAAAUUGACGGGGACCCGCACAAGCGGUGGAGUAUGUGGCUUA